UGCAAUUCACGGGGGCCCAGCAAUGGGCAACCGGCGAACGGGUGCGUAACACGUGAGCAACCUGCCGAUCUGCGGGGGAUAGCCGGCCUAACGGCCGGGUAAUACCGCAUACGCUCAUUCCGGGGAGUCCCGGGAUGAGGAAACCUCCGGGGCAGAUNGAGGGGCUCGCGGCCUAUCAGCUAGUUGGUGAGGUAACGGCUCACCAAGGCGACGACGGGUAGNUGGUNUGAGAGGAUGGCCAGCCACAUUGGGACUGAGAUACGGCCCAGACUCNUACGGGAGGCAGCAGUGGGGAAUCUUGCGCAAUGGCCGAAAGGCUGANGCAGCGACGCCGCGUGUGGGACGACGCCCUUCGGGGUGUAAACCACUGUUGCCCGGGACGAACACCUGGUUUCGACCAGCUGACGGACCGGGAGAA
rnacentral:rRNA from 1 species